rnacentral:rRNA from 1 species
ACUCCUACGGGAGGCAGCAGUGGGGAAUAUUGCACAAUGGGCGCAAGCCUGAUGCAGCAACGCCGCGUGAGGGAUGACGGCCUUCGGGUUGUAAACCUCUUUUAGUAGGGAAGAAGCGAAAGUGACGGUACCUACAGAAAAAGCACCGGCUAACUACGUGCCAGCAGCCGCGGUAAUACA